rnacentral:rRNA from 1 species
GUAUAUCGCGACGUACGCCUGCCAGAUGGAGCAAACCAUGCGAACGAGGAAGGACUUCUGAGGGGGUGUUCUUUUAUUUAGGAAAAAAAGCUUGAUAGGAAAGAAUAAGCCUUGAUUGUACUAAAUGAAUAAGUGACAGCUAACUAUGUGCCAGCAGCUGCGGUAAAACAUAGGUCACGAGCAUUAUCCGGAUUUAUUGGGCGUAAAGGAAGCGUAGGCGGACAAAUUGAUCUAUUGUUAAAGGCACUUGCUCAACGAGUUGUUUGUGAUAGAUAUCGUUUGUCUAGAAUUAGUUAGGAGAUACUGGAAUUCAAUGUGUAGCGGUGGUAUGCGUAGAUAUAUUGAGGAACACCAGAGGCUAAGGCGAGUAUCUAGGACAUAAUUGACGCUGAGGCUUGAAAGCGUGGGUUUUCAAAUGUUUUUUAGAUACCCCAGUAGUCCACGCCGUAAACGAUGGGUAUUAGGUAUUUGGUCUAGGACUGAGUGCUGUAGCUAACGCGUUAAAUACCCCGCCUGGGUAGUAUAUAUGCAAAUAUGAAACUCAAAGAAAUUGACGGGGACCUGAACAAGUGGUGGAGCAAG